UGUGCCAGCAGCCGCGGUAAUACAGAGGGUGCAAGCGUUAAUCGGAUUUACUGGGCGUAAAGCGUGCGUAGGCGGCUAUUUAAGUCGGAUGUGAAGCCCUGGGCUCAACCUGGGAACUGCAUUCGAUACUGGGUAGCUAGAGAUCGGUAGAGGGCGGCGGAAUUCCGGGUGUAGCGGUGAAAUGCGUAGAUAUCCGGAGGAACACCGAUGGCGAAGGCAACCGCCUGGGCCUGAUCUGACGCUGAGGCACGAAAGCGUGGGGAGCAAACAGGAUUAGAUA
rnacentral:rRNA from 1 species